rnacentral:lncRNA from 1 species
ACUGCGGUGAUCAACUGGAGUCCUCGAAGAAGCAUCUGGGAAGAGGCGAAGCCCAAGGAGAUUGCCAACUUAACACACCGUCACUGCCUUGGCCUGGAAGCGGGAUGCCUCAGGACUCUGCACAGUGCUUGUGAAGAACUUGGCAUCAGGGACCCGCGUGGUGCUCAAGUCUCACCAUGGCUAUGAGGUGGAAGAGGUGAAAAUCCUGGGAAAGGAGCAUUAUUUGACGGCUCACACAUCAGAUACACUGCUGCUGGGAGACCUGAACACAAAUUGCCUUAGUGAGGUAGCCUGGCAGGGGUCUGGCAGCAAUGAAAAGUAUUUCUUUGAAAAUGAGAAUUCCACCUCCCUGUACCGUUUUUCUUCAUGCCUCCUGUAUGAUCUUCCAUGCUGGAGAGCUGACCCUGGUGGAAUAUGGGAGCAAUGAUACCUUGGGCUCUGUGCGUACUGAAUUCAUGAACCCUCACCUCAUCAGCAUCCGUAUUAAUGAGUGGCAUCAGCAAGGAAUGGAAGAUAAUAAGAAAUUGGCUUAUCUUGUUGAUAUUAAGACUAUUGCCGUAGUGGAUCUGAUUGGUGGCUACAAUAUUGGUACCAUCAGCCAUGAGAGCCAUGUGGAUUGGCUGGAACUUAAUGAGACUGGGCACAAGCUCCUCUUCAGGGACCAGAAACUUCAUUUGCAUCUGUAUGAUAUUGAAAGCUGCUCUAAGACAAUGAUCCUCAACUUCUGUUCCUAUGUGCAGUGGGUUCCUGGAAGUGAUGUCCUGGUAGCUCAGAACAGAAACAACUUGUGCGUGUGGUACAAUAUUGAGGUGACCGAGAGGGUCACCAUGUUCUCUUCUUCAUCAGGCAGGCAAGCUCAGUGCCUCACUUUUGACCGACAAGAAGUUCACCAACUCACAGUGGAACUUGGGAAUGUGUCUCUACAUGUCUCCCGACUGCGUGAACCUGCGCUCACACCACUUGCAGGCAUGCGGCUUCUCACGCGUGUGCAUCAUGGCGUGGAGGCUCAGGCUGUGCGAGUACUGGAAGCUCUUGCCGCACUGGGUGCACGUGUAGGGCUUCUCCCCCGAGUGAGUCCUCUCGUGGCGCUUGAGAGUGUACAUGCAGGAGAAAGUCUUCGCGCACAGCGAGCCCGUGGGCACGUUGACAUUGGCCGCUGGCUUGCUACGGAUGCCGUCCUGCUCCCGGAAGUGGGUGCUCAGGUGGAUCUGCAGGUAUACAUCCUAUCUCUGAGGAGGUUAGCUUGGGAAGUUUAA